AGUGUGAUUGCUGGAUCAUAUGGUAAAACUAUGUUUACCUUUGUAAGAAACUGCCAAACUGUCUACCAAGGUGGUUUUACCAUUUUGUAUUCUUACUAGCAAU
rnacentral:pre_miRNA from 1 species